rnacentral:rRNA from 1 species
CCUACGGGAGGCAGCAGUAGGGAAUCUUCCACAAUGGACGAAAGUCUGAUGGAGCAACGCCGCGUGAGUGAAGAAGGAUUUCGGUUCGUAAAACUCUGUUGCAAGGGAAGAACAAGUAGCGUAGUAACUGGCGCUACCUUGACGGUACCUUGUUAGAAAGCCACGGCUAACUACGUGCCAGCAGCCGCGGUAAUACGUAGGUGGCAAGCGUUGUCCGGAAUUAUUGGGCGUAAAGCGCGCGCAGGUGGUUCCUUAAGUCUGAUGUGAAAGCCCCCGGCUCAACCGGGGAGGGUCAUUGGAAACUGGGGAACUUGAGUGCAGAAGAGGAUAGUGGAAUUCCAAGUGUAGCGGUGAAACGCGUAGAGAUUUGGAGGAACACCAGUGGCGAAGGCGACUGUCUGGUCUGUAACUGACACUGAGGCGCGAAAGCGUGGGGAGCAAACAGGAUUAGAUACCCUGGUAGUCCACGCCGUAAACGAUGAGUGCUAAGUGUUGGGGGGUUUCCGCCCCUCAGUGCUGCAGCUAACGCAUUAAGCACUCCGCCUGGGGAGUACGGUCGCAAGACUGAAACUCAAAUGAAUUGACGGGG